rnacentral:rRNA from 1 species
UUCAGGGGUAAACCUGAGAAACCCGAAAGGUCGAAAGGGGAGAUUCAGCGUGUAUCUGAUGAGGCGCUGGACGGUCGUGCGACGGACGGGGUACGCUUCGUCCGCACCUUCCGUUCUCCGAACCUCGUUAGAUCGCGUGCACUUCUCCCCCUGUAGGACGUCGCGAUCCGUUGGGUGCCGGUCUAAGGCCCGCGGUGGAGUCCGUCCGGACGGUUCGCCGUACCGGACGAACCCGUGGUGUUUCCCGAUCGGCUCGCUCGACGGUAUACAGAUGGCGCGGGGCCGCUACACAGUUAGCGUUCGGCCCUCGGCAAGCACGCCCGUCGGUAUGGUGAUCGGACCUGGUGCCGGUCCCGUCCCCGGGUGGCUGUUCGCCGAGGUGUUCUCGGACAGACCUCGUUGAAACGCCGAUCUGCGACGCUAUAGCUUUGGGUACUUUCAGGACCCGUCUU